rnacentral:misc_RNA from 1 species
GAUGGAAGAACGUAGCGAAAUGCGAUAAGUAGUGUGAAUUGCAGAAUUCAGUGAAUCAUCGAAUCUUUGAACGCACAUUGCGCCCCAUGGUAUUCCGUGGGGCAUGCCUGUUCGAGCGUCAUUUACCCCCUCAAGCUCCGCUUGGUGUUGGGCGUCUGUCCCGCUUCGCGCGCGGACUCGCCCCAAAGGUAUUGGCAGCGGUCGUGCCAGCUUCUCGCGCAGCACAUUGCGCUUCUCGAGGCACCGGUGGGCCCGCGUCCAUCAAGCUCACCCCCCCAGUUUGACCUCGGAUCAGGUAGGGAUACCCGCUGAACUUAAGCAUAUCAAUAAGCGGAGGA